rnacentral:rRNA from 1 species
AUUGAACGCUGGCGGCAGGCCUAACACAUGCAAGUCGAGCGGCGCGGCGGACGGGUGAGUAAUGCCUAGGAAUCUGCCUGGUAGUGGGGGAUAACGUCCGGAAACGGGCGCUAAUACCGCAUACUCUCAGCUGAGCCUCGGGCGGAUUAGCUAGUUGGUGGGGUAAAGGCCUACCAAGGCGACGAUCCGUAACUGGUCUGAGAGGAUGAUCAGUCAAACUGGAACUGAGACACGGUCCAGACUCAUACGGGAGGCAGCAGUGGGGAAUAUUGGACAAUGGGCGAAAGCCUGAUCCAGCCAUGCCGCGUGUGUGAAGAAGGGCUUCGGAUUGUAAAGCACUUUAAGUUGGGAGGCGUUACCAACAGAAUAAGCACCGGCUAACUUCGUGCCAGCAGCCGCGGUAAUUC